AUGUUAAGGAUGGCCUUCCUUCUUCAGUCCCAGCCAGAAGUGGCUGUUAGAUUGUUUUUAAAGUACUGGGCAUGGAUUUGGCUCUCCCUGCCUGUAUCCUUGCCUCAAUCAAUUGGGACAAAGAUGAACAGUUAGAUACAUCAGAAGGCUGGAUGGGGUUGGAGGUACCAACUCUGGCUAAGGAUUAUAUUAAUGUCCUCAUUUACAUGUGUGUAUAAGCUGUGCAGUCUGAAAGCUAUCUCCCAGAACCUUCAACAAUUUAGUGACAUUGGCCAGCACCCACCAGGUCCUUCUGGUCCUUCUGGAAUGCAGUGAGAACUACAGUAUCUACAGUUCUUUAUUUCUGCCUGCUCCUCCUGUAAGCGGGGCAGUCAAGGGGUGGCUAUACAGUUCAGAUGGUUCCCUCUACUGACCCAGAAGCUUACAUGUGUACACGGAUGCUGAAAGUCACAUGCUGCCUCUUUAAAAUAAGCCUGGUGUCACUGUGGAGCUGCUAGCUGUGGCAGGUGGAUUUAUGAAUCAUCUGAAGCCAGAGGGUGGGGCAUGGAGAACCUCCUGUUCUUAAUUUUAUUUGCAAUUUAUCUACAUUUUGAGAAUUGGACAGUCCAGAAUUCUUUGGCCAAUCCAUUGUUUGCUAAUGGAUAUGAAUAAAGGAAAUCUAUGGCAUGGCAAAAACCAUAAGGCAGCAACAUUUACAGGUCCCUGGGAAUUUACACAAAUUGCUUCCAUAAAUGAAUCCAUCAACUGAGUGAAAUCAGGCGUUAAGUAUAGUGUGGAUUUGCAAGCCCUGCUUUUCAUUACUAUUGUCUGGUUUAGUGGCUAUCUGGAGAGGGGAUUUUUUGUGUGGGAGAUGGGGAAGAUUGAGUCCAAUGGAUGCCCUUUCAUCCUUUCCACCAAGCUGGCUUCUGGAUUUGGGACACUGCUGAGAUUUUAGGAAAGCCAGAUGAUCUUCUUGAUUUGCCAGCAACAGAGAAGUAAGAGGAACACUAGACCAAUUGGAAUGUCCAUGUUAAAGCUGACAGAGUCUGUUGGCUGUGGCCUCUGGACCAGACACAUGAAAUGGGGAAGUUUAUAGCCUUGCCUGGGAACUCAUGUCAUUUCUCCACGUGGGAUUCCGAGUAUCUACUGCACAGCCCUCGGCAUGCACAAAUGCACCAUUGAGAAUGUGGCUGUACCCUGUCAGGAGAUGUUUCCUCUAUGAUUCCCAUGCUACCUGCUGCACAGACUCCUCUAAAGGGUUAAACAAACACAACAUUCAAAAAGCACUUGGAAAAGAGUAAAAAUGUGACCCAACCUGUUAGACAUAAGAGCACUGGUUUUAUUAAACUGGUUGAAGCCUGAUGUGACCUGGGUCAGCUUUAUUUAAGAUAGUUUUUUUAUUCUCUUCCAUAUGUGGCAUGAAUUAGCUAAGCUUUUCCUUUUGUUAAAUCACAAAGAAGAUGAAGGAAGCAAAGAUGAACUGUUGUGUAAGGGAGAAUUCAAGUCAUUGUUGCAGAGUCAGAUACGGGCAUCUGGACGGUUAUGGAAGUGACUCUUGGGGAUUGGAGAAAGGUUUAUAGUUCUGAGAACCAAAGACAGACAGACAUUGACACCUGUAUGUCUGUUUUAACCCCUGUUGCUGGUUAUGUAGCAGAGUCUAUCCAUGUACAAAAGCAUUUUGCAAACUGCAUAAGGGCAUUAAAAAUAGUGAGUUUCUAUUACGGUUGUCCUCAAACCUAGCACGUAUAAAACAGGACCUAGCUUCAGUUCUAUAUACUGUUCAUGUCUCUAUAAAUGAAACCACCCAGAAGCCUUGAUAGUACCUCUAGAGAUGUUAGCUCACUUUAGAUUUUAAGUCAGAUGUGUAUGUUAGAUGUUAAAAAUAAAUAAAAUGCAUUUUCAGCUGAUAGCUAGUAGGGGCUAGAGGGAUGAAACAGAGUAGGGAACACUGCAUUUGUAUAAAUUAUCC
rnacentral:lncRNA from 1 species